rnacentral:rRNA from 1 species
AUUGAACGCUGGCGGCAGGCCUAACACAUGCAAGUCGAACGAGCGGCGGCCGGGUGAGUAAUGUCUGGGAAACUGCCCGAUGGAGGGGGAUAACAACUGGAAACGGUAGCUAAUACCCCAUACCAUCAGAUGUGCCCAGAUGGGAUUCGCUGUUAGGUGGGGUAACGGCUCACCUAGGCGACGAUCCCUCGCUGGUCUGAGAGGAUGACCAGCCACACUGGAACUGAGACACGGUCCAGACUCCUCCGGGAGGCAGCAGUGGGGAAUAUGGGACAAUGGGCGCAAGCCUGAUGCAGCCAUGCCGCGUGGGUGAAGAAGGCCUUCGGGUUGUAAAGCACUUUCAGCGGGGAGGCGUUACCCGCAGAAGAAGCACCGGCUAACUCCGUGCCAGCAGCCGCGGUAAUAC